GAUGAACGCUGGCGGCGUGCCUAAUACAUGCAAGUCGAACGCUGGAAAUCUAGCUUGCUAGCUUGAAGGAGUGGCGAACGGGUGAGUAGUACAUAAGCAACCUACCCACGAAGACUGGGAUAAUCUCUGGAAACGGGGACUAAUACCGGAUAGGUAAUCGGAAGGCAUCUUCUGAUUAUUAAAGGUUAAAAACACUGGUGGAUGGGCUUAUGGCGCAUUAGUUAGUUGGUGAGGUAACGGCCCACCAAGACGAUGAUGCGUAGCCGGCCUGAGAGGGUGAACGGCCACAUUGGGACUGAGACACGGCCCAGACUCCUACGGGAGGCAGCAGUAGGGAAUUUUCGGCAAUGGGGGAAACCCUGACCGAGCAACGCCGCGUGAGUGAUGACGGCCUUCGGGUUGUAAAGCUCUGUUGUAAGGGAAGAACGGUAGAUAGAGAAUAUCUAAAUGACGGUACCUUACCAGAAAGCCACGGCUAACUACGUG
rnacentral:rRNA from 1 species